GAAAGCCACGGCUAACUACGUGCCAGCAGCCGCGGUAAUACGUAGGUGGCAAGCGUUAUCCGGAAUUAUUGGGCGUAAAGCGCGCGUAGGCGGUUUUUUAAGUCUGAUGUGAAAGCCCACGGCUCAACCGUGGAGGGUCAUUGGAAACUGGAAAACUUGAGUGCAGAAGAGGAAAGUGGAAUUCCAUGUGUAGCGGUGAAAUGCGCAGAGAUAUGGAGGAACACCAGUGGCGAAGGCG
rnacentral:rRNA from 1 species